rnacentral:rRNA from 1 species
AUUGGACGCUGGCGGCAUGCCUUACACAUGCAAGUCGAACGGUAACGGGCCUUCGGGUGCCGACGAGUGGCGAACGGGUGAGUAAUGUAUCGGAACGUACCUUUCAGUGGGGGAUAACGUAGCGAAAGUUACGCUAAUACCGCAUAUUCUGUGAGCAGGAAAGCAGGGGAUCGCAAGACCUUGCGCCGAUUGAGCGGCCGAUGUCAGAUUAGCUAGUUGGUGAGGUAAAGGCUCAACAAGGCGAAGAUCUGUAGCGGGUCUGAGAGGAUGAUCCGCCACACUGGAACUGAGACACGGUCCAGACUCCUACGGGAGGCAGAAGUGGGGAAUUUUGGACAAUGGGAGCAACCCUGAUCCAGCCAUGCCGCGUGAGUGAAGAAGGCCUUCGGGUUGUAAAGCUCUUUCGGUCGGGAAGAAAUCGCAUGGGUUAAUACCCUGUGCGGAUGACGGUACCGGCAUAAGAAGCACCGGCUAACUACGUGCCAGCCGCCGCGGUAAUAC